CAUAUAAUUAAGCGGAGGAAAAGAAACUAACUAGGAUUCCCUCAGUAACGGCGAGUGAAGCGGGACUAGCUCAGGAUGUGAAUCUGCGCUUUAUUGGCGCCGAAUUGUGGUCUGUAGACUUUGACGUUAUCUGCCGGGCCAAGUUCCUUGGAAAAGGACAGCUGAGAGGGUGAGACUCCCGUCCGCCUGGUUGAGUGAGUCAUUUGUCAACGAGUCGAGUUGUUUGGGAUUGCAGCUCUAAUUUGGUGGUAAAUUCCAUCUAAAGCUAAAUAUUGGUGGGAGACCGAUAGCGUACAAGUACCGUGAGGGAAAGAUGCAAAGAACUUUGAAAAGAGAGUUAAAGAGUACCUGAAACUGCUGAAACGGAAGCGAAGGAAACCAGUGUUUGUUUGUUCAUAUUUCCCUGGCCACUUGUGGUUUGGGCGCUGUGAGCUUGCGUGAGUUUGGGUUGGUUGAUCCCUUUGGAAGAGCGCAGUCAGAGUUGAUGUCUGUUGCUAGCACUGGGUUUGACUGAUGCAGACGAAAUGGUUUUCUUUACCCCGUCUUGAAACACGGACCAAGGAGUCUAACAUAUGUGCGAGUACAGGGGUGUCAAACCCCGGUGCGUAAUGAAAGUGACAGUGGUUGGAAUUUUGCACAAUCCGCCGGCCUCAAUCCUUCGGGAGAACGGUCUGAGUGUGAGCAUACAUGUUGGGACCCGAAAGAUGGUGAACUAUGCCUGAAUAGGGUGAAGCCAGGGGAAACUCUGGUGGAGGCUCGUAGCGAUUCUG
rnacentral:rRNA from 1 species